rnacentral:rRNA from 1 species
UACGUAGGGCGCAAGCGUUGUCCGGAAUUAUUGGGCGUAAAGAGCUCGUAGGCGGUUUGUCGCGUCUGCUGUGAAAACCUAAGGCUCAACCUUGGGCUUGCAGUGGGUACGGGCAGACUAGAGUGCGGUAGGGGUGACUGGAAUUCCUGGUGUAGCGGUGAAUGCGCAGAUAUCAGGAGGAACACCGAUGGCGAAGGCAGGUCACUGGGCCGCAACUGACGCUGAGGAGCGAAAAGCGUGGGGAGCGAACCGG